rnacentral:rRNA from 1 species
CCUACGGGAGGCAGCAGUGGGGGAUAUUGCACAAUGGGGGAAACCCUGAUGCAGCGACGCCGCGUGAAUGAAGGAGUACUUCGGCAUGUAAACUUCUAUCAGCAGGGAAGAAGCUGACGGUUCCUGAACUAGAAGCCCCCGCCAAAUAAGGGCCAGCCGCCGCGGUAAAACGUAGGGGGCCAGCGUUAUCCGGAUUUACCGGGGGUAAAGGGAGCGGAGGCGGGUUAGCAAGGCAGAAGUGAAAGCCCGGGGCUCAACUCCGGGACUGCUUUUGAAACUGUUGGACUAGAUUGCCGGAGAGGCAGGUGGAAUUCCUGGUGUAGCGGUGAAAUGCGUAGAUAUUAGGAGGAACACCAGCGGCGAAGGCGGCCUGCUGGACUGUGAAUGACGUUGAGGCUCGAAAGCGUGGGGAGCAAACAGGAUUAGAUACCCGAGUAGUC